rnacentral:rRNA from 1 species
CCUACGGGAGGCAGCAGUAGGGAAUUUUCGUCAAUGGGCGCAAGCCUGAACGAGCGAUGCCGCGUGAGUGAGGAAGGCCUUCGGGUCGUAAAGCUCUAUCAGCAGGGAAGAAGAAAGACGGUACCUGACUAAGAAGCCCCGGCUAACUACGUGCCAGCAGCCGCGGUAAUACGUAGGGGGCAAGCGUUAUCCGGAUUUACUGGGUGUAAAGGGAGCGUAGACGGCUGUGCAAGUCUGAAGUGAAAGCCCAGGGCUCAACCCUGGGACUGCUUUGGAAACUGUGGAGCUAGAGUGCUGGAGAGGUAAGUGGAAUUCCUAGUGUAGCGGUGAAAUGCGUAGAUAUUAGGAGGAACACCAGUGGCGAAGGCGGCUUACUGGACAGUAACUGACGUUGAGGCUCGAAAGCGUGGGGAGCAAACAGUAUUAGAUACCCCAGUAGUC